rnacentral:rRNA from 1 species
UACGUAGGGUGCGAGCGUUAAUCGGAAUUACUGGGCGUAAAGUGUGCGCAGGCGGCAGAGCAAGUCGAGUGUGAAAGCCCCGGGCUUAACUUGGGAAUUGCGCUCGAAACUACUUUGCUGGAGUGUGGCAGAGGAAGGUGGAAUUCCACGUGUAGCGGUGAAAUGCGUAGAGAUGUGGAGGAACACCAAUGGCGAAGGCAGCCUUCUGGGC